rnacentral:rRNA from 1 species
AGCGAACGCUGGCGGCAGACCUAACACAUGCAAGUCGAACGAACCUUUCGGGGUUAGUGGCGGACGGGUGAGUAACACGUGGGAACGUGCCUUUAGGUUCGGAAUAACUCAGGGAAACUUGUGCUAAUACCGAAUGUGCCCUUCGGGGGAAAGAUUUAUCGCCUUUAGAGCGGCCCGCGUCUGAUUAGCUAGUUGGUUGAGGUAAUGGCUCACCAAGGCGACGAUCAGUAGCUGGUCUGAGAGGAUGAUCAGCCACAUUGGGACUGAGACACGGCCCAAACUCCUACGGGAGGCAGCAGUGGGGAAUCUUGCGCAAUGGGCGAAAGCAUGACGCAGCCAUGCCGCGUGAAUGAUGAAGGUCUUAGGAUUGUAAAAUUCUUUCACCGGGGACGAUAAUGACGGUACCCGGAGAAGAAGCCCCGGCUAACUUCGUG